rnacentral:rRNA from 1 species
GAUGAACGCUGGCGGCGUGCCUAAUACAUGCAAGUCGAGCGAACAGACGCGGAGCUUGCUCCUCUGACGUUAGCGGCGGACGGGAGAGUAACACGUGGAUAACCUCCCUAUCAGACUGGGAUAACUUCGGGAAACCGGAGCUAAUACCGGAUAAUAUAUUGAACCGCAUGGUUCAAUAGUGAAAGACGGUUUUGCUGUCACUUAUAGAUGGAUCCUCGCCGCAUUAGCUAGUUGGUAAGGUAACGGCUUACCAAGGCGACGAUGCGUAGCCGACCUGAGAGGGUGAGAGGCCACACUGGAACUGAGACACGGGCCAGACUCCUACGGGAGGCAGCAGUAGGGAAGCUUCCGCAAUUGGCGAAAGCGUGACGGAGCAACGCCGCGUGAGUGAUGAAGGUCUUCGGAUCGUAAAACUCUGUUAUUAGGGAAGAACAAAUGUGUAAGUAACUAUGCACGUCGUGACGGUACCUAAUCAGAAAGCCACGGCUAACUACGUG